AGAGGUUCCUCAAUUCAAAGCUGGGAGUGUAACAAGGGAUUCUGCUUCCUUUACAGACACAGACCAACUCCGACUCAGGGAAGGAAAGACCCCAUGCUCUGGACGAGUGGAGAUCUGGCACAGUGGCUCCUGGGGGACCGUAUGUGAUGACUCAUGGGACCUAGAAGAUGCUAAUGUGGUUUGCCAGCAGCUGGGCUGUGGCUCUGCUGUGGCUUCCCUGGGAGAGGCUGCAUUUGGCCCAGGAAAUGGGACCAUCUGGCUAGAUGAUGUACAAUGCACAGGGAGAGAGUCCUCUCUGUGGGAUUGCCCUGCAGAGCCCUGGGGGAAGAAUGACUGUAAACAUGAUGAGGAUGCUGGUGUCAGAUGCUCAUGGUACACAGAUUUUCGUCUGAUGAAUGGAAGCUCCCAAUGUGAAGGAAGAGUAGAGAUCCAAGUUUUUGGGACCUGGAGAACUCUGUGACUCCCACUGGGACCUGGGAGAAGCCAAUGUUCUCUGCCAUCAGCUCAACUGUGGUGUUGCCAUGAAGCCUCCAGAAGAUGUAUAUUUUGGCAAAGGAAGUGUCCCGACCAUAAGGGAUACAUUUUACUGCACAGGAACCGAGUCUCAUUUAUGGAAUUGUUCAGUGACUAUCCUGGGGACUUCUCCAUGUUCCAAAGGAAAAGUUGCUUCUGUGGUCUGCUCAGGAAACCAGACACAGUCCCUCAUGUUCAAUAAUUCACAGUCUGACCAGGAAAAGGUACCUGUCUUAUUUUCAGGUAAGAAAGAAAGUCGGACAAAAUGAGGAAACCCUUCUCAUUCCUGGGGAAAAUGGGCAAUUAAUCUGCAUUUCUUCUUGUAGAAAUUGGACAGCUUCGUCUGUUGAAUGGAAGAGGUCCCUGCUCUGGAAGAGUUGAAGUCUAUUACAAUGGUACCUGGGGGACUGUCUGUGAUGAUUCUUGGGACUUGAGCGAUGCCCAUGUGGUGUGCAGGCAACUGGGCUGUGGAGUGGCCCUCAAAGCCAUGGUCUCUGCUCACUUUGGACAAGGAUCAGGGCCCAUCUGGCUAGAUGAGCUUAGCUGCUCUGGAAAUGAAUCCCACCUAGGAGAGUGCCCUUCCCUCCAUUGGGGGUCGGCAUGACUGCAGGCACAAAGAGGAUGCAGGAGUCCUCUGCUCAGGUCCGGGCCAUACACAUCCUACUAACAGUGAGGGACUUAUGUGAGCACUUAGGAGGUGGGGCUUAGAGACGUGAGGGAGGAGGAGCUGAUUCAGACAGGGAGGAGGACUUCCUGCCCCAACCACAGCCCUUCCUAGAGUGCAGUUUUAAGGCAAGACCUCUUAUCUGAAGGAUGAUUUUAUUUAUCUCCUACAUUUGUAUAGAUGGGUCUCUGCCCUUAUGAAGGGGUGUAUGUGGGUGUGUGUGUGUGUGUGUGUGUGUGUGUGCGUGUAUAUUUUCUUAUACUUCAUUUCCUAAUAGAGUGCUAUUCUCAGAAUAGGUAUACAUGUCUGCUGAUUUACUUUUCUAUUGGUGGUUCACAGAUACACACUAAUUUUGAAACUGUGAAACUGAGUAGUGAAAUCACAGUAAAGGCAUUCCUGUCUUUUUAAUGGGGGACACAAGAUAGAGAGAAUUGUACAGAAAUAUAGAGGAAGGAAUUCUG
rnacentral:lncRNA from 1 species